ACAAAGCAUUCUUGAGUAAAGGGCUUUCAAGUUUGUUCAAAAGAAGGGUAAUGUCCCUUUCAAAGGGGAGAUAAUCACAAAAAUGCAAAUAUAGAGUGGGGUCAUUCAAAAAUCUUCUAAUCAAGAGCCACUUGGCCAGAAAAGCUGAAAUUUACAUGACAGCUUACUGGCAUAGUACAAAUUCAAGUUUAUUAAAAUCAUGGCCCCUGGGGGUUGGAUGGGGCCACAAUAGGGGAUCAAAGUUUUACAUACAAAUAUAUAAGGAAAAUGUUUAAAAAUCUUCUCAAGAACCACUGAUCCAGAAAAACUGAUAUUUACAUGAAAGCUUUCUGACAUAAUGCAGAUUCAAGUUUGUUCAAAUCAUGGCCCCCGGGUGUUGGAUGGGGCCACAAUAGGGGAUCAAAGUUUUACAUACAAAUAUAUAAGGAAAAUGUUUAAAAAUCUUUUUCUCAAGAACCACUGAGCCAGAAAAGCUGAUAUUGACAUGAAAGCUUCCUGACAUAUUUCAGAUUUCAGUUUGUGAAAAUCAUGGCUCCCAGAGGUAGGAUGGGGUCACAUGGGGGAUCAAAGUUUUGCAUACAAAUAUAUAGGAAAAAUCUUUAAAUACAUAUGUAUGAGCCAAAGUGACUCAGGUGAGCGAUGUGGCCCUUGGGCCUCUUGUUUGUAUGUGGUGUGGUAGACAAUUUUUAGUUCAUCCUAGCUCCUAAUUAUUCAAAUCCAUUGUUAUUAAAUUUGGACCGGUGUAUGCUUUACAAAAACUUGAAAAAUGAAAGAAUAUGUUUUGGAGGGAUGUAAGUAAAUCCUGGAAAUGGUUAAUAUGUCUUUUUGAGAAAAAAAAAUCUUCUGAACGUAUGGUUAAUAGUGUUUUAUGGUACAAUGAAAACAUAAAGGUAAAUAGAAAAACUUUAUAUCUGAAAGAAUGGUGUGAAAAUAAUGUAUAUACAGUUAACUCAAUGUUAGAUGAGAAUGGAGAUAUCAUGAAUUAUAAUCAAUUCAUGGAAAUGUAUAAAGUAAAAUCUCAUUUUUUGGAAUUUUUUGGUUUAAGACAAGCAUUGAAGAAAGCAAUGAGAGAUAAUGGAAUAAACCAGUUUAUAAAAGUUCAAGAACCUACUAUUCCCAUACAUAUAGCCCCUUUCAUAUAUUUUAAAAGAAACAAGAAAAAACUGUACCAAAUUUUUAAUCAUAGUGAAGAAAAACCUACAGGUCAAAAGAAGUGGGAUAUACAAUUUGAUAUCUCUCAAGAAGAGUGGAAUACAAUUAAUAAAAAUGUUUUUACUAUUACAAAGGAUACAAAAUUACAGUGGCUACAAUAUCGUAUAAAUCAAAAAAUUUUAGUCACAAAUUUAUUUUUGUUCAAAAUAAAGAAAAUAGACAACGAUUUAUGUUCGUUUUGUGUAAAAGAAAGGGAAUCAAUAGAGCAUGUUUUGUAUGACUGUGAAAAUGUUGUUUUAUUUUGCAAGAAUGUGCAGUCAUGGUUUAGGGAUUUUUUUCCAGUAAAUAUUGUUGUUGAUAAAAAAAAAAACCUUUUUGCUGGGUAGCUCAGAAAAUGAAAUGAUCAAUUUGAUUAAUUAUUAUUUAAAGUACUUUGUGUAUGGUUGCAAAUGUAGAGGCAAUCCGCCUUUGUUAAAUAACUUUAUUACCACUUGGACAGAUGUGUACAAAGUAGAAAGGCAGUUAGCAUGUAAAAAUGAUUAUGUAGAUGUUUUUGAGAAGAAAUGGAAUACAUUUCAUAAAUUAAAAGAUUUAUAGAUUUUAGAUCAUCCAGAAUAUAUAAUAUGUAAUUGUAUAUAUUAAUUAGCCUAUGUAUAGCAUCGGAAGUUAUUAUCAAUGUCAUAACAGUACAUUUGUUAUACAUUUAAAACCUUUAGUUUGUGACAACCUAUUAGAUUAAUAUUAUUUUGUAUAGUGUACAUAUGAUAAGCCAGAGUAAUUUCAUUCCUUUCUAAUUCUCUUCCUUUUUUCCUAUCUUUGAAUGAAUGCCUAUUAGAGUGGAUGUGUGAGUAAAUGGUAGAUAAAAUACCCUGUACCCCCUAGUCAGGUGGGUUUGUAAGGGCAUGAUGUUAAAACCCUGACUGUCAUAAUGUGAAUAAAUGUUGUAUGAACCUAAAAAAAAAAAAAAAAAAAAAAAAAAUCCAUUGGCCAGGGGUUGUGGGGAAAACAUGAUAUACAUCUACAUCCUUACUUCUGAAAACAAUGUCCACUUCAAAACCAUGUAUGAACAAGACAACAGUAUUUUUCCAGUGAGGAAGAAGACCAUGAAAGACACCACCAGUUUAUAAAAAAAAUCCGUUCAAUAAAUAUAUUAAACUUUACUGCUUUGGGGAAAGUAUAUUGAUAUAUUGGUAAGAAAGUAAUUUUCUAAAGAAUCAGCAGCUCACAUUUUGAUUACUUUGAUAUGAUAGGAAUUAGUCAAUAUAUAUUUUGGGUAUGGAUCCAAAAUACACAUCUUUAUGAAGUUGAAUGAACAUGUUUGCUCAAUUUUUACACAAGUAGUGCAUCACAUAACAUAUUAAAGCUUUCUAAUCCGACUUUUAUUUUUAGGAAUUGGGACACGUUCUAAAUAUACUCAGGGACAGAAUGAUGUGCAGCAGGGUUCGUCAUGGGUAGAGAUACUCCCAUUUAAUAUUGAUACUUUUCAUAUCCAAGCAUGUAUAUGGCUAGGUUGUAUAAUGUUUGUUAUAAUUAUCUAAAUUAUGUCCUUCCUUCCAUCUAUUGUUCUGUGUGUUGAUUUCUCACCACUCUGCAAGAAAGGGCAUUCAUGUCUAUUUCAUAGACGAUCCUACAUGUAGUUGCAAUUGAAUCAUAAAUUAUUCCCAAAGAGUUCAUGAUUUCAUCAUGUUUUGAAUAUAAUAUUUUUUCAAUAUCUAUUUUAGAUUUUACCAAAUACAGAACACUGCAAGGCUUGCAAAAUGAAGACCUCAGUAAAAAAAAUUCUAAAUUAUCCACUAAUGGCAGCUCACUACCUGCCCCUAGUGAUGCUAAAAGAGGCCGUUGUUCUCAUUUGUUCCAAAACAGGAAUGGCAUAUGAGGAGGCCAACAGAAGAUGCACCUCCACUGACCUCCACUGAGUGUGCACUCACAAAACGAAUAAAUUAUUAUUAUUUCU